AUUGAACGCUGGCGGAAUGCUUUACACAUGCAAGUCGAACGAUGAGACCUAGCUUGCUAGGUUGAUUAGUGGCGAACGGGUGAGUAAUGUAUCGGAACGUAUCCAAUAAUGGGGGAUAACUAACCGAAAGGUUAGCUAAUACCGCAUACGCCCUACGGGGAAAAGCAGGGGAUCUUCGGACCUUGCGUUAAUGGAGCGGCCGAUAUCUGAUUAGCUAGUUGGUGAGGUAAAGGCUCACCAAGGCGACGAUCAGUAGCUGGUCUGAGAGGACGACCAGCCACACUGGGACUGAGACACGGUCCAGACUCCUACGGGAGGCAGCAGUGGGGAAUUUUGGACAAUGGGCGAAAGCCUGAUCCAGCCAUUCCGCGUGAGUGAAGAAGGCCUACGGGUUGUAAAGCUCUUUCGCAAGGGAAGAAAACUUACUUUCUAAUAAAGAGUGAGGUUGACGGUACCUUGAUAAGAAGCACCGGCUAACUACGUGCCAGCCGCCGCCGUAA
rnacentral:rRNA from 1 species